rnacentral:rRNA from 1 species
AUGGCAUCGCCGCCCCGCGCCGCUGCUGUGAACCAGAGAGGAGCAGCAGCGCGCACCACCAGCUGCAUCCUUGCCGCAAACGAAGGCGCUGAAGCCCCGCAUGCACCGCCAUGGCGCUGCAACCUCGCGCUGGGCGACGCUCGGCGCUCGGCUGCGACGCAACACUCAGGCCGGAGGGCGGCCGCUCGUUUUUGUGCUGCCGGCGAUGCGGUACGGCGCUCGUCGGCGACCGUCGGUGCUGCAACGCAGCAACGCGUCCACGGCCGCGGGCUGCGACGCAACAACUCGUCCACGGCCGUCGUGCUGCGUUGGAACCGUGGUCGGUGCUGCGAUGCAACCUCGGCGUCUAUUGGUGCUACAAUCGUCGGCGGCGGAGCUGCAAUGGAGCGCUCGCCGGUGCCUCCCCUGUGCUUCGAUGCGGCGCACAUGCGACGAGUUUCCCGGGCCACCAAUGGCUCGAUGCAGCGUCUCCGGCGGGGUGGCGUAGCUGCAGUGCAACGGCGUGAUGCUGUGUGCCGGACCGGCGGAGCUACAGUUCAACACUCCGGUGGGUGGGCGGAGCUGCAGUGCAACGGCGUGGUGCUGCGCGCCGGAGCGGUGGAGCUGCAGUUCAACAUUCCGGGGGUGGAAGGAGAACAAUCCAGCCCUAAAAAUGGGGAGAAAGGGGAAGCAUCUACUCGUGGGGGCAAGACCUGCCGUCUGUCACCACAAGAGCAAGAUAUGUCCAUGUCUUCUGACAGUGAGGUGGAUUCCUCUCUUCUUAUUGAAACUAUGGCAAAAGAGCAUGAACUUGCAGGAAAAGAAAUAAACCUACAUGUCUCCAAUUGGAUGGUGACUCUGAACCAUGUUGAGGUCCAUGCUCCGGUGGAAACUAAAACAUUAACCCAGGGAGUGAAGGUAAAAGAUCUAUCUGCAGCUCGUCGAUCUUUAUCUUAUGUUGCUGUAGUAUCUAACUCUGCUCGGAUUGUGGAGGUGGAGGGAGACAUUGACUCAAGCCUGAAGGACAAUAGUGAUUAUGUGGUACAACUUCCACCUUCUGAAUGCAGUGAUGAGCUUAUUCUCACCCCUCCCCUUGCUCCUGAAGCGGUUCUUAAAUUCAGCAAGCGCAAUGUGCAGAGGAUGCAGGAGAAUAUUGAAGCAAAAGCCAUCCAUCUUGCUCAGAAAAGAGACCUGGGAGAUAAUAAUCAUACACCAUGUGCUAAUGCUUUUGAUGCUCUUUCCAAUACUGAAUUACUGCAUAGGGCUUCUUGCAUGGGUGUUAAUAUACCUGAUAAUGAUUUCUCAUGUGUAAAUAUACUUAGAGAACUGGAGAGGGUGAGAGAGAACCUGAAUGAUAAAAAUAAGAUGGAUGAGAAUAAAGAUAAUAAUGAAGAUAAUGGGUUUGACAUUUUGGUUACAAAUGGACUGGGAAAAACUGUCCCUGUUAAUCUCACUUGGCUCGAUCAGGAAGAGGUUUUGCAUGAGUAG